rnacentral:misc_RNA from 1 species
GAUGAAGAACGUAGCGAAAUGCGAUAAGUAAUGUGAAUUGCAGAAUUCAGUGAAUCAUCGAAUCUUUGAACGCACAUUGCGCCCCCUGGUAUUCCGGGGGGCAUGCCUGUCCGAGCGUCAUUACAACCCUCAAGCACUGCUUGGCGUUGGCGGAUUGCGUGCCCUCGCGGCGCUGCAACCGCCCAAAUACAGUGGCGGUCCCGCUGCGGCUCCCUUUGCGUAGUAACUCACCUCGCACUGGACCGGGCGGCGGCCUGCCGUAAAACCCCAACUCACGAAAUGUUGACCUCGGAUCAGGUAGGAAUACCCGCUGAACUUAAGCAUAUCAAUAAGCGGAGGA